CAGACAAUGGCAUCGAGUGCACCCUCAGCAAGUCUGUGGAUGACACCAAACAGCGGUGCAGUUGAUUGUUGGAAGGAAGCGAAGCUAUCCAGAGGGACCUGGACAGACUGGAGAAGUGGGCCCAUGAGAACCUAAUGAGAUUCAAUAAGGCCAAGUGCAGUGCCCUGGAGUCAAGUGCAAGAAGUCCUUACAAGACUUCUGGUGGUGUUGGUGUACUCAAGUGAAUGAACACAAGAUCUACAUCACCAAUUGCACAGUCAUUUUGGAAACGGUCUUAACUGAGCUCUCCAGCAUCCUUACCUCUUCACACAGUCCCACUGGAAAUAGGCAAUUCCAUGCCCGCCGUGUGCCAGCUGCCCUGAUUUGUCAAAGUUUUCCUUCAGCCCUGGGCUUUCUAACUCUGACGUACAGCAAGAGAGACGCUCAUAAACAACCACCGAAUAGGAAAAAAGUAAGCGUCCCACUCAC
ensembl:lncRNA